rnacentral:piRNA from 1 species
UUGCAGAUGUCCUGUGUUUUCUUGGCCC